CAUUAGCAUUGGGAAAUGCCAAUGCCAAAUCUAAAGGAAAUUUAACAUUUUCAACAUCAAAACACUCUGUAUCAGGGAAUGGCAAACAGCACUAUUGUAAAUUUUUUUGCAAUAGUGCUACAGUGCAAUUCUAUGUUUAGAAUUGCACUGUAGCAAGUAUUGUAUCAAAAAUAAUAUAUUUUAUGUGUUUCCCCCUAAAACUUCUCUCUCAUGAAAUCAUUCUGCGCGGGCUCUCCUCUCUCUCUAUUCAUUCUCUGUUUCUCAUUUGCUCUCUCCUCAUCUCUGAAGCUUCAUCUCCGAAAUGUCAAUGUGACUAUCUCCGAAAUUUCUGGACCCAUCUCCAUCUCUAUCUCCGAAAUUUCUCACCCGAUUCACCCUCUCACCCAUUCACCGAUUCACCCUCACCGAUUCACCCUCACCCUCACCUCACCCGGUCACCGAUUCACCCUCACCCAUUCACCCUCACCGAUUCAUCCUCACCCAUCUCCAUCUCUGAAGCUUCACCCUCACCCAUUCACCGAUUCACCCUCACCUCACCCAUUCACCCUCACCGAUUCACCCUCACCCAUCUUAACCGAUUCACCCUCACCCAUUCUCAAGGGUUUUUAGGUUUGGGUUCAGAUUUUGCAAAAACGAAGCUCCGUCGGUGUUGGGGGAUUCAGCUCCGUCGGUGUUGGUGCUGACUGUAAGAGUUUUUGUUGUUGAUUUAGCAUCUUCGAGACCGUAAGCUCGAGUUCAUCUUCAGAAAGUUUGCUCGGUUCAUCUUCAAUUACUAGUUGAAUUUGACAGGUUCUAUAUGUGUGUGUGGAUCAGAAAAAUUGGCAGGUUCUAUAUGUGUGUGUCUGUAUUUGAUAGGUUCUAUAUGUGUGUGUGGAUCAGAAAAAUUGGCAGGUUCUAUGUGUGUGCAUGUAUUUGGCAGCUUGUUUGAAUAGUUGUUGAAUUUGACAAAAAAAAAAAAAAAACGUUUGCUGGAAAGAAAUGAUGAAGGCCAGGGAAAGAUAUUUGAUAUGUUCUUUGGAAUAGACGUUGAAUUUGACCCCCAAAAAAAAAAAAAUGGUUUGCUGGAAAGAAAUUAUAUAAAUGGUUGUGGUGCUUUAAAAUCCCUACCAAUGUCCAAUUGUACAUGCCUGGAAUAUGCAACUAUUGAGAGUUGUAGUUCUUUGAUGUUCAUUUCAAAACGCCAGCUACCUCCAACUUUGAAAAGCCUAGUGAUAAAUGAUUGCAAGAAUUUGCAAUUUUUGAUAGACGAGGGAGAGGCUUCUUCUUUAUUAUUGAAAGAGGAGAGUAUUAAGAAAGCUACUAGGAACUUGCAAAGGCAAGAGCAUUUCAAGGACCAAGCAUGUGGACGAAAAUGGUGUGGAGCCUCCACAGAGGAUGUUACAUGGAUAUGGGAGCAACCUGUUCUCAGUUGACAUUGGUGCUGAUCGGAUAGUGUGUGCAGGGGAGGAAGGUGCUGUUAGGAUCUUUAAUUUCACACAAGCAUUGGAAAUUGAGAAGAGGACUCGUGAUUUAAGACGAAUACGGUUAGAUAAUAGGAUGAGGCGGCGUAAGCUCCAAAUAGAGAUGAACAGUAAAGGUGGUCGGACUGAUCAAUGUUCAGUUGCAGCUAAGAAGAACACAGUUAAUGGUGAUAGGGGUAGUGCUUGGCACAAUAAGCGUGGGGUGAGCAGCAAGCUGAAGGCGUAGCAGCAGAUAACAAGUACUGGUUGAUUUUCGGUUCCAUCAUUUUUUCACACUUUGUGGGCAUUUUAGCGUAAGGAUGGUGUAAAAUUCAUUUUCUAAGCAGGCAAGCUGACUUAUGGCCAAAAAAAAAAAAAAAGAAGGUAGGUAAGCUGACUAAUUGUGGUUUUAUCGUGCUAUAUUUGAAUUAUAAAUUUGAUGUUCAUUUAAUAUUAGUUGUUACAUACUUUGUUAUGUUCAGUUGGUU